UCCGCCCCAUCCGAUUUCUAUCCAAAGGUUACUUGUUUUACAAUCUUUGUUUCAUAAUUUAAAGCUUAAAGCACUAAUAUUAAAAUAAUUGUCCAGCGACAGAAAUUAAUGCCAUCACAUAGGUAUUGAUAUGAUGUCAUAUACAUAUUGGAAGGAGGUAUUGAUAUCAACACAUGUAUAUUGUAAGGUUUUGAUAUCAUCAGUGGUAAUGAUACGUAUUUUAGAAUAAAUGAAGGUCCUGAUACAUUGAAAUGUAAUGAUGUCAGCACCUGCUUUUUUAAUGGUGUUGUAUGUAGUUUAGAAAAUAAGCCAGGUCUGGUAUUUUGUUUCUUACCUAAUUUUGUGCUUCUUUAUUUCUAUGUACAUUAGUGUUUUGACAGGAAAAACAGUUCACUGAACUACCAGUGGUCUAUGUAAACUGUGAAUGUUAUAAAAGGUAUCUAGGUGUGAGAAGUUUACAGAGAAAGUGAACAACUCACAGUUUGUGAAAGUAAAUGUAAAUGAUAUAUGCAUAAUAUACAGGUUAUUGUUAAUUAAUUUUAUAUCAUAUGCUUGGAGUGCAGCACAACAUACUUCUGGUGACUGUCCACACUGUUUAAUUUAAUACCAGAUGAAUUAAUGUGAUAACGCUAUUAGUCUUGAGAGUUAUUUAUUCCUGGUAGAUUGCAUAAGUAGUUCUUUUUGAUCUGUUUUGUGUUACCUUUCUUUGGUUUGGAUUGAAGAUGUAAUUGAUUUACAUUGUACAGCAAUAGCUAUUAUAGCAAUAUUAUAAUGUAGGUAUGCAUGGUAUUUUCAUGAAAAACAACAUAAAGGCUCCUUUACAAAGAGGGUUAAGGAAGAAAUCAAAAUUGAUUAGGUUAGAGUGGGUGGAAAUAGAUAAAAGAGGAUGGAAAAAGGAUAAAGUGGGUUGAGAUAGGAUAAAGUGGGGGAUGAGUGAUAGGAUAGAGUGGAUGGAGAAAGGUAAGAGUGAGUGGAAAGAGGAUAGAGUGGGUGUAGAUAAAAUAGAAUAGAUGGUGAUAGGUUAGAGUGGGAUGAGAGAUAGGUUAGAAUGGCUUGAGAUAGGUUACAGUGGGUGGAGAUAGGAUAGAGUGGGGGAUGAGAGAUAGGAUAGAGUGGUUGGAGUGUAUGGGUAGAGAAAGGUUACAGUGGGUGGAGAUAGGAUAGAGUGGGGAUGAGAGAUAGGAUAGAGUGGUUGGAGAUAGGUUAGAAUGGGUAGAGAAAGGUUACAGUGGGUGGAGAUAGGAUAGAGUAGGAUAGAGUGGGGGAUGAGAGAUAGGAUAGAGUGGUUGGAGUGUAUGGAUUGAGAAAGGUUACAGUGGGUGGAGAUAGGAUGGAGUGGGUGGAGAUAGGAUAGAGUGGGUGGAGAUUGGAUAGAGUGGGUGGAGAUAGGAUAGAGUGGGUGGAGAUAGGAUAGAGUGGGUGAAUGUAAGUUAGAGUGCUCUUUAAUUUGAUAUAUAAGUUUAAACAUUUUAAAGAUGUAAAUAUAUUUUAUAAUAAUUACCUACAUAGGAUUGGAUACUAGGUGUAUUUUUUCAAUGUUUUCUUGCACAGAGAAUGUAGAGUGGACAAUAUGUGGAGUCAAGGAAGUAGAAUAUAAAAUGUUAAUUAUCCUUUCAGUAAUUAUUUUUGUAAUGUCUUAUGAUCAAGUAUAAUGUUUGUACAGUGUUUCAUGCCAGACUAUCACUAGGCAUUCAAUGCAGUUUGUAUACAGGUAUCAUUCAGGUGUUGUUUUAGCAUUGCCUGCUGUAAAUAAAUCACCGUAAUGUCUUCCAUGCUUAGGCCAGACUUAAAAUAUUUGUUUGCUGUGCUUCAGUCCAGAAUUUAAAGGUAGGUAGGUCAGUCAAGUGAUUUUUUAUGGGGUGUUUUGGGAGUUAAUUUAGUCAAGAAAUACAGGAAAAGCUACCUGUAAUUGAAAUUACAUUAGGACUGAUGGUGAACUUAUUCUUAUAUUUUACUACUAAGCGUAAUAUCUUAGUAAUACAUUAUACUGAAUGUGCCCAUUAAAUAGUAUAACAGCAUUUAUUACUUAUGUUAUUGACAUAUUCAGUAAAUUGUAAGAGUAAUUAUUGCCAUAGACAAAAAAAGUCAGUAUGAUUUGAAGAAUGAAAUAGGAAAUUUGACCUUUGUACUUGAGCCAAGGUCACUUUCAAAACAUAGGGCUAGAGGUAGUACUGAUUUUGGUAAGUGAGUCUAAGCACUGCAAAGAAAUGACUUUUAAGGAUGACCUUACUUAUUUACAGGUUUGUUGUUUUGCAGUUUGUUAUAUAUUAAACUGUGAUGUUCAGCCUCAGGAUUUUUUAUUAGUCAUGCUCAAUAGUUAUAACUUAUUGGCAUUAUUUUCGUAUGUACAUUUUCUGGCUUCCACCUGGAUCUCUUUAAGAUCUUUUAACUGUGACCUUGAUUAUUAGCUCACCUGAGCAUUGCUCAGAUGAGUUUUUGUGAUCGCUCAAUGUCAGUCGUCUGUCUGUCAUCUGUCAUCUGUCAACAUUUAGAUUGUGUAUGUGAUAGAGGCUGUAUUUCUCAACUGAUCUUCAUUAAAUUUGGUCAGAAUGAUUGCCUUGAUAAAAUCUAGGUCGAAUUUGAAUAUGGGUCAUCUGGUAUCAAAAAGUAGGUCACUAGGUCAAAUCAAACUUGUGUAUACAAUAGAGGCUGUAUUUUUCAAUUGAUAUUCAUUAAAUUUUGUCAGAGUGAUUGUCUUGAUAAAAUCUAGGUCAAGUUCGAAUAUGGGUCAACUGGGGUCAAAAACUAGGUCACUAGGUCAUAUCUAAGAAAAUACUUGUUUAAACUCAAGAGACCACAUUUUUAGUCCAAUCUUAAUUAAAACUGGCCAAAAUAUUUGUUUCCAUGAAAUCACUAGGUCAAACAUGUUUACACUGUUAUGGUGUGUUUCUCAGGUGAGCGACCUAGGGCCAUCUUGGCCCUCUUGUUUGUUUAAUUUUACUUUGUCAGCGAUGUGCCUUCUGUGGUUAGGGCUUAGGUUUUUUUUUUUUCAGAAGAAGUGGGAGAUGAUUAUAUAAAAAUUAAAAAAAAAGCUUCAGGAGUUAUCUUGUAUGAAUAUCCUGAGAAAAAAAGUAAUGCUAUUCCUUGUUGGGUCUGUUUAUUUUAUGAGUUUGAAGUUGUUUUUCAACAGUGUUCCAGCUGCAGUCAUUGAAGCUAAUCAGUGUUCCUGCAGUUUGAACGAGUACUGACCCAACAUCACAGUUUGAAGACAGGUGACUUUAGACACACUGUCUUCUGUUAAAUAGUAACAGAAAACAUGUCACACCCUGGGAUAGCACUGAUGAUCUAUAAUACUCAGUAUGGUCUGUAGAAUAAUACUCAACAAUUUGUAAAAUUUCUCUGUAUUUAUUAAAAACAAACAUGUUAUUUUUGCCUUGCAGAAAAUGUUGGGAAAAUUUUUUUGAAAGGGUAAGGAAAUUUCUGGACUUGAAGUCUGUUUAAUUUUGUGUCCAUAUACCAAGAUUGAAAUUUUUCUUUGAAAAUCCUGUCUAACUUCAUCUCAGAGAUAAGGUCAAAGCAUUAGAGAUGAGAGCUAAUAUAAAAUGUUCAGUAACUGCUAUCAGAGGAUUUGCUGGCAAAGAUCUUGUAUCUUUGAGAGAGAAACAUGUUACAUGCUACUCUAGGAAACUUGUACUACAGUUAUAUUGAAAAUAUUGUCUAUUGUCUAAAAUGUUGUAUAUAUAAAGGCUCCUACAGAAAUAGAGAAUAACAAUUUUGUGUGAAAAAGUAUUUUCUGUUAUGACAUUGUAUACAGGGUAACUGCUAUUACAGAGGUCUCAGUGAUGUCGUAUACAGUGUAACUGUUACUUAUACCAUGGUGUUGUUGUGCACAGUUGACAUGUUAGCAAUACCUCGGUAAUGUCGUGUAGUGUGGUGUACAAUGUUACCUCUGUUACAACACCAUGAUGUUAUGUACACUCUACCCAGUCUGUUUCCGCCACCGUGGCGAGGUUAUGUACAGUCUAACCUCUGUCUCCGCCACCGUGGCGAGGUUAUGUACAGUCUAACCUCUGUCUCCGCCACCGUGGCAAGGUUAUGUACAGUGUAACCUCUGUCUCCGCCACCGUGGCGAGGUUCUGUACAGUCUAACCUGUUUCCGCCACCGUGGCGAGGUUAUGUACAGUCUAACCUCUGUCUCCGCCACCGUGGCGAGGUUAUGUACAGUCUAACCUCUGUCUCCGCCACCGUGGCGAGGUUAUGUACAGUCUAACCUCUGUUUCCAGCCACCGUGGCGAGGUUUUGUACAGUCUAACCGUUUCCGCCACCGUGGCGAGGUUAUGUACAGUCUAACCUCUGUAACUGACACCACCGAAGAGCAAACAUCCCUAUGCAAAGAUUGGUGUUUUCUUUACACUUGUUACAAUUUUCAGCAUAUUAAUUUCACAUUUUUGUCUUCCAAGUGGUGUAACCUGUACAGAGAGAUGAUGUUCUGUUUAUGUCUUCUUUCAGUUUUCUGUUUCUCCAUUGAUAUUUGGAUAAAAAUUUGCACAUGUUUUAUGAAUAAAGAGCACAUCUAAAGGAAA